CGCCGUAAACGAUGUCGACUUGGAGGUUGUGCCCUUGAGGCGUGGCUUCCGGAGCUAACGCGUUAAGUCGACCGCCUGGGGAGUACGGCCGCAAGGUUAAAACUCAAAUGAAUUGACGGGGGCCCGCACAAGCGGUGGAGCAUGUGGUUUAAUUCGAUGCAACGCGAAGAACCUUACCUGGUCUUGACAUCCACGGAAGUUUUCAGAGAUGAGAAUGUGCCUUCGGGAACCGUGAGACAGGUGCUGCAUGGCUGUCGUCAGCUCGUGUUGUGAAAUGUUGGGUUAAGUCCCGCAACGAGCGCAACCCUUAUCCUUUGUUGCCAGCGGUCCGGCCGGGAACUCAAAGGAGACUGCCAGUGAUAAACUGGAGGAAGGUGGGGAUGACGUCAAGUCAUCAUGGCCCUUACGACCAGGGCUACACACGUGCUACAAUGGCGCAUACAAAGAGAAGCGGCCUCGCGAGAGCAA
rnacentral:rRNA from 1 species